AACGAACGCUGGCGGCAUGCCUAACACAUGCAAGUCGAACGAAACCGUCUGCUUUCCCUUCUCAAUGGUGCGUACCCCGUUGGAAACCGCCCUUAGAUUCCGAGUAACUUCCCGAAACAGGUUCUAUUACCGCCUAGUGUCCUCGGUCCAAUGCUUUAUGGCCUUUGGGUGGGUCCGCGGUGGAUUAGCUCGUUUGUCGGGUAAUUGCCUACCAAGGCGACGCUCCUUAGCUUGUCUGAGAGGUUGAGCAGCCACACUGGGACUGAGGCACGGCCCAGACUCGUACGGGAGGCAGAAGUGGGGAAUAUUGGACAAGGGGCGAAAGCCUGAGCAAGCAAUGCCGCGUGAGGGAUGAAGGUCUUAGGGUUGUAAAGCUCUUUUACCCGGGAUGAUAAUGACAGUACCGGGAGAAUAAGCACCGGCUAACUCCGUG
rnacentral:rRNA from 1 species